AUUGAACGCUGGCGGCAGUCCUAACACAUGCAAGUCGAACGAGUGGCGGACGGGUGAGUAAUGUCUGGGAAACUGCCUGAUGGAGGGGGAUAACUACUGGAAACGGUAGCUAAUACCGCAUACCAUCUGAUGUGCCCAGAUGGGAUUAGCUAGUAGGUGGGGUAACGGCUCACCUAGGCGACGAUCCCUAGCUGGUCUGAGAGGAUGACCAGCCAGACAGGAACUGAGACAAGGUCCAGACUCCGACGGUGGGCAGCAGUGGGGAUUAUUGAACAAUGGGCGCAAGCCUUAUGCAGCCAUGCCGCGUGUAUAAAGAUGGCCUUCGGGUUGUAAAGUACUUUCAGCGGGGAGGCGUUACCCGCAGAAGAAGCACCGGCUAACUCCGUGCCAGCAGCCGCGGUAAUAC
rnacentral:rRNA from 1 species